rnacentral:tRNA from 1 species
GGAGCAGUGGUUCAGUAGUAGAGCUCCCGCUCCGUAAGAGGGAGGACCUGGGUUCGAUUCCCGGUUGCUCAC